rnacentral:pre_miRNA from 1 species
UGGAGGCCGUCACACUGCCCGAGAGCAAUGAGCCUGGCUGUCUCACAGUGAACCGGUCUCUUUC